ensembl:snRNA U6 U6 spliceosomal RNA
GUGCUCACUUGGGCAGCGUAUACACUAAAAUUGGAAUGAUACAGAGAUUAACAUGAUCCCUGCACAAGGAUGAUACACAAAUUUGUGAAGCAAUCUGUAUUUUC